AGUGGGGAAUAUUGGACAAUGGGCGCAAGCCUGAUCCAGCCAUGCCGCGUGUGUGAAGAAGGCCUUCGGGUUGUAAAGCACUUUUGUCCGGAAAGAAAGGCAUUCGAUUAAUACUCGGGUGUUAUGACGGUACCGGAAGAAUAAGCACCGGCUAACUUCGUGCCAGCAGCCGCGGUAAUACGAAGGGUGCAAGCGUUACUCGGAAUUACUGGGCGUAAAGCGUGCGUAGGUGGUUUGUUAAGUCUGAUGUGAAAGCCCUGGGCUCAACCUGGGAAUGGCAUUGGAUACUGGCUUACUAGAGUGCGGUAGAGGGUGGCGGAAUUCCCGGUGUAGCAGUGAAAUGCGUAGAUAUCGGGAGGAACAUCCGUGGCGAAGGCGGCCACCUGGACCAGCACUGACACUGAGGCACGAAAGCGUGGGGAGCAAA
rnacentral:rRNA from 1 species